AGAGCAGUGCGUUGCGCACCAUUGUCCUGUACUGUCUGCCUGCUGAGAUGGGUCUUGCCCACAAAGAAUUAUGGUUUCCCUUCUGUGAAUUUCUGCACUACAUAUGGCGACGAGGAUAAAAGAAGAUAAAUAAGUAUGAAUAACGAAGCAGCUAUUUUCUAGAAGCAAGUAAAAAGCACGACGCCGACGCCGGUAAGCUCAGCUGAUUGAGAUUAAUGACUGCCGCGGGUGGUGACUGAUUGAAAGGAAUGAUGGCUGGAGUGGUCGGAUGUGUAGCACCUUUUAAUAGUGGAUUACAAUCAUGGGAAGAGUAUUGUGAAAUGCUGAAUCAUUUCUCCGUGGCAAAUGAUGUAGAAACUCCAGAGAAGAAACGAGCCAUAUUGUUGAGUUGUGUUGGAGCACAGACAUGCACACUGAUGAGGAAUUUGUUGAGUCCAGAGAAACCAGGUAUAAAGAGUUUUGAAGAAUUGGUGAGUUUAUUGAAAAACCACUUUAAUCCGAAGCCAAGUGAAAUAGUUCAGAGGUGGAAAUUUAAUUCAAGAAAUAGACGCCCUGAUGAAAGCAUAGUGGAGUAUGUGGCUGAGUUAAGGAAACUUGCACAAGAUUGCAAUUUCGGAGACACACUCACAGUGAUGCUGAGAGACAGAUUAGUGUGUGGAGUCAGUGAUGACAGCAUACAGCGGAGAUUACUGCCUGAGGAUGGAUUAACUUUUGAAACGGCACUGAAGAAAGCUCAGGCUAUUGAAACUGCUAAUAAGGAUAUGGCAGAUUUGAACAGAGUGAAAGGAAAUCGUAUGAAUACUACUGUUUUUAAGAUGGACAGUGAAGAAAGAAGUAACCUGACUGGUGCAGGAAUGUGUUAUCGAUGUGGUGGAACUAAUCAUGGCCCGAAAGACUAAGUUUGCCAACGAAAAAUGUUUCAAGUGUGGUAAAAUAGGACAUGUGAAAAGAGUAUGUAGAAUGAAACCACAGGAAACUGCUAUUAACAAAGGCAGGAAAACGGGAAAAUGGGAGAGAGGAAAGCAGUCAAAGAGGGCAAAUUUUCUUCAGGAGGAAGAGGAAGUUCAGUCUGAAGAAAUGUUCACUAUGUAUAGUAUGCAAACAGCCCAAUCUCAGGUGCCUCCGCUUACACAAGCUUUACUGGUAAAUGAGUGCCCUGUGAAAUUUGAAAUUGACACUGGAUGUAGUGUAACUGUUAUCAUCACAGGUGGAAUAUUUACUGCAAAAUAAAGGUAGAUCAAGACACACACAAGCGUAAUUUUCACCUAUUAUUAACGUUAUUGUAACCCUUUCAGCGGAACUGGGAACUGUCUUAAAGGUAUUUUAUGGCAACUUUAUUAAUAUGGAAAGAUUAUUUGACAGUAGACUUUGCUUUAAAUGAUUAAAUAACAAAAUUAGUGUCAUCGCCGCUCCUACUGCUAUCUGACAUCCACCGGAAAUGCACGAGUAUUUACCAAUUCAACAGAUCAGGAAAACAAUCAUGAUUUUAUUUUCUAUAUUUCCUCAUCCCACCGAAAUUAAUUUCAGGUAAUACCAACUGCCAGCACAACACAAGACGUGCUUCUGAAUCGUUUUAGAUGCAAGUGUGACUUACAUUAAGCACAGCACACAGGAGCUGAUUUUAACCCCCAUGGUGAAGUCCGCGGCGACAGACAGCGUGGUGCACUGCAGGUUAUGGUAACUGCCCUAUUUUAUAAAGACCAGAAAAAAGGCAGCGUUCAGUAUUUGUUCAGCACGAUGAGAUACAGAAUUUCUGCUAGAAACACCAUCAUUAAACACCAUCAACUAAAACGAACAUUUACAUUUAAACAUUUAAAGUUUUUUUUUUUUUUUUGCAUACAGUCAACAUUUAAAUAAACGUAAAUAGAGUAGUCAAAAGGCCGAUGAGCGCAACAAACAAUUAGAUUGAAAUAUAUUUAAAGAAGCACCAAAACUGUGCUUUGCAACGCAUAUUGUCAAAUGUACGACAUUUCUGUUUCUUUGCAGCUGGACCAGGAACAUAUAUCGCCUGCUUUUAGGAAGAAACUUUUAAGGAUCAACUGUUUUGCCACUGUCUCUUCAACCACGCGAUUGUGCAGCGACUAUUUGCCGGAAAAUCUUGGAAUCAGCCACCUUGAGUUCCAAAGAAGAGGAACUUUGAUCUUUGGAAUUGAGUAAAGUAGUAUCUGACUGGCACUGGAUUGGAAAGCUGAGCCGGCUGGGCCUGAACACCUCUCUCUGUAACAGGAUCCUGGACUUCCUGACUGGUAGACCUCGGUCAAUCCAGAUCGGAAGUAGCAUCUCCAACACCUCUACAAUGAGCACUGGGGCCCCCCAGGGCUGUGUGCUCAGUCCACUGCUGUUCACUCUGCUGACUCAUGACUAUGCAGCGAUGCACAGCUCGAAUCACAUCAAAUUCAGCAAUGACACAACCGUGGUGGGUCUCAUCAACAAGAACGAUGAGUCAGCAUACAGAGAGGAGGUGCAACGGCUAACGGACUGCUGCAGAACCAACAACCUAAGAGACAUAAGAGACGGUUGUUGACUUCGGGAAAGCACGGCGCGACCACUCUCUGCUGAACAUAAACAACUCCUCUGUGGAGAUUGUCAAGAGCACCAAAUUCCUUGGUGUUCACCUGGCGGAGAACCUGGCCUGGUCCCUUAACACCAGCUCCAUUGACAAGAAAGCCCAGCAGUGUCUUUUCUUUCUACCAAGGCAGAGAAAAGCCCAUCUCCCACCUCCUAUCCUCACCAUAUUCUACAGAGGGACUAUCGAGAGCAUCCUAAGCAGCUGCAUCACUGCCUGGUUUGGAAACUGCAUCGUCUUGGAUCUCAAGACCCUGCAGCGGAUAGUGAGGACAGCUGAGAUGAUCACUGGAGUUUUUCUUCCUUCCAUCACAGACAUUUACACCAUAUGCUGCAUCUGCAAAGCCACUAGCAUGGAUGACCACAUGCACCCCUCACACAAACUCUUCACCCUCCUGCCAUCUGGCAAAAGGGACUGAAACAUUCAGGCCCUUCAGGCCUAGACUGUGUAACAGUUUCUUCCUCCAAGCCAUCAGACUCCUUAAUACUCAGAAACUAGACUGACACCAACCCUCCCACACACACACACACACAUGCACACACAUGCACACACAUGCACACACAUGCACACAGACACACUCAUGAUCAACGGAACACCACUCCACUCCCUCUGCAACUUUUGCAACUUUUUGUAACUUAUUCUUUCUUAAAUUGCUGCUAAAACACUGUACACAAAAUACUGUAUUGACCACCUGCACUCUUGCUGCUAACACUGUAUUUAUCAUAGUAAAUACAUAGUGUCAUAGUAUAUUAGGGUUAGUUACAUAUGGCACUCUGUCCACUUUAUCCACACUAGAAAUGUGUACUAGUCAGCGCUGCACUGUCCUUAUUGUGCCUAUUGUCCUGUUUUAGGAAUUUGUACUUGACUUGUGCUGUUUAUACAUUUGCACACAUGCACUUUAGGAAAUCCUGUGUAGGUCUGUGUAGUCUUUAGUUAGUUCUGUGUAGUCUCAUGUAGGUUUGUGUUUUAUGUAGCACCAUGGUCCUGGUGCAAAGUUGAUUCAUUUCACUGUGUACUGUACCAGCUGUAUAUGGUUGAAAUGACAAUAAAAGCCACUUCACUU